AUGGAGACCUGUAUGAAUGGCAUAACGAGGGCUUAGCUGUCUCCUUCCCCAAGCCAAUGAAAUUGAUCUCCCCGUGCAGAAGCGGGGCUACCCCCAUAAGACGAGAAGACCCUAUGGAGCUUUAGACACUAAGUGAGAUCGUGUCAAGUAACCCGGGCUAACGGGAUGAACUAGACGACCCCUCUCCUAAUGUC
rnacentral:rRNA from 1 species